rnacentral:rRNA from 1 species
AUUGAACGCUGGCGGAAUGCUUUACACAUGCAAGUCGAACGGCAGCACGGGGGCAGUCCUGGUGGCGAGUGGCGAACGGGCGAGUAAUACAUCGGAACGUGCCCGGUCGUGGGGGAUAACGUAGCGAAAGUUACGCUAAUACCGCAUACGAUCUGAGGAUGAAAGCGGGGGACCUUCGGGCCUCGCGCGAUCGGAGCGGCCGAUGUCAGAUUAGGUAGUUGGUGGGGUAAAGGCCUACCAAGCCGACGAUCUGUAGCUGGUCUGAGAGGACGACCAGCCACACUGGGACUGAGACACGGCCCAGACUCCUACGGGAGGCAGCAGUGGGGAAUUUUGGACAAUGGGCGCAAGCCUGAUCCAGCCAUUCCGCGUGCAGGACGAAGGCCUUCGGGUUGUAAACUGCUUUUGUACGGAACGAAAAGGCUCUGGCUAAUACCUGGGGCUCAUGACGGUACCGUAAGAAUAAGCACCGGCUAACUACGUG